rnacentral:misc_RNA from 1 species
UGGAGGCUUCGUCUUCUAGAAGCAAAACUCAUGGUUCAAGUUUUCAUCACCAUUUUCAACGAUCCACUUCACCUUCGGGUCGGUUCUGCUCAUACUCAAUGUCUUCAACUUCACCUAGUUUUUCCAGUUUCUCCAACAGGGAUUCCGAUUCCGAUUUCAUGACCCGAUCCACAUCUCCAACCCGGGUGAAUCUUCGCCGAUCCGUUUCCCCG